AACGAGGCCGACCUGCGGCUGAGUUACCUGCGGAGGGAUCAUUAAAGAGAGGGGACACAUUCCCGCGCGGGUCUCCGCGGACUAUGUUAUAUGCAUGGUCGUCAGCCGAAUUCCCGCGAGGGAGUGUGUCUCUGGGCCGCUAAAAAACGGUCUAUUCCUGCUUCUUGAGCACCAUAUGUUUCCUCGGCGGGCCUGCCCGCCAAUGGGGACCCCAUUAAAACCUUUGUAAUAGGCAGUGAC
rnacentral:misc_RNA from 1 species